ACUGUUGAGCCAGGACAGUUGAGUUUUACUUAGGGGCAAACACUGAAGUCCACUAUCUUGACACCUAACAAGAUGUUCUCAAUGCCUUGUCGCUGAAUUAGGCAAAUGCCUUCAUAUUAGUAUCAGAGAGAUUGCCAGGAAGGAUAAUGGAGGCUCAGAAUUUCAGGACACUGCUCAGAAGAGCCGACUAGGAUACUGCACUCGAAUUUCGAAACACCAAGAAAGAACACUAAGUUUUGAUUCUUUACUGCUUGCUAGUAAUGAUGGAGAUGGAACCCCAACUCCUCCUCACCACUGAUGCCUAGAGUGCAGUCCGCUCCUGAAGUCCGGCCUGGACAAUGCUCCCAUAAUUAGCUGGAUUCAAGGCAGUACCAGCUACAGCUGUUCCUGAAAGUGAUGACUGAACAGUCACUAGACCAAAUGCUGCCUUCUCCCUUUGAGGCUGUCAGACGCAGAUCUUUUGGAAGUGAAAAACUAAAUAGCUUUAGACUACUAUCACUGCCAAAUGGACUUCAAAUUAUCAUGGGGGAGUCCAAAGUCUUUUUGAGCAGGAGAGAAAAUGAGAGAGAGGUGGACCCAGGUGCUCACAGAGCUAUUUCUUCCUCAUACAGGCUUUUUGCAGUCUAAAAUAAACACAUCUGAGAUCAGCAAAUUCCAUGCAUUACUGAACUACUAUGGUCCGUAGCCAGAAUCCCUCCAAUUUCUUCUGUAUUUCUUUAUUAAGCUCUCUGUAUUUAGCCAGACAUUAAGCCUUUUUUAACACAAGUGAUAACAACACACCAUAAAUAGCUGCUAUCUUUUUGUAGAUGUAACACAUGUUACAUGUUAAACAGUUCUUCUUGAAAAGCAAAGGCAAAUAUUGCUCUUUUUACCUCAGAAAUUCAGUGUCGAACACAAACUCAGGCUAUAUCCUGAUUUCAGUACUUUCUGCCACAAGGUAACAAUGUUUCAAUUAAAAUACAGAACCCGAGGAUUUUUAACAGUUUAAAUUCAAACUCCUAUUAAAUGCUGCUCUUUAGACAAUGCACUUUCAAAUAUCGUUGCCUCACUGAAUCAAAAAAUUUCAGGGUUUAAAAUAAGCUAUUUUCACCUGUUUGUCAUAACCUGAAGACUCCCUCUACAGCUCUUUUUCGUUAAACCAUUAUUGCUUCUCAUAACCACACCUUUAUCAAGUUUUAGUUCACUUAUGUCAACACUCCUGCUUCCACUGGUCAAUAGUGCACUUUUAAAUUAUUUUCCAUAGGAAACGUAAUUUUUAUCUUGCACAGCAAUAAACCUGAGAAAUUUGUAUUUGCAUAACAACAUAAAAUCAAACCUUGCAAAA